CAGGCCCUGUGGCCAACUCACCAGCCACUGUCUCCCCCGACCCCAGCCUCCCUAUCAACAACUUAGGAGGACCCCUUUGGAAGAAUGAUAAACUCUUGGGUCACUGGGGACUUCUGAGGAGGACAACAUCUCGGGAAGCUGGACUGGGCUUGCUGGGUGGAAAUCAGAGUGGUAUGAAUUUUAACAUUAAAAACAUGUGACUUAAAGUGACCCAGUUUUGUCACCUAAGCUGGUGAGGUGGGUCAUACAAGGAAAACAGGGUUUCAAACACCUGGUUUCUGACAUGUGACCUUAACUGUAUAUCUGUCUGCCUUAGCUGGAUUAAUUUCAUUCUUUCAUCUGUCUGGAAUCUUCAGACAUAACUUGAAGCAAAGCAAAACAAGACAAACAAAUUCAGACUUAAACCUUUGAAGUGUCAUACAUUUUCCCAAGAAGUUUAGAAUUCUAUGGCUUGGGCUUGCUUUAAUCGUAGCUCCUUUGCAGCUCAGUGUUCUGUGAUAACCUAAAUGGGUGGUAUGAGGGGUAGGGGUGGGGGCAGUGGGAGGCAAGUUCAAGAGGGAGGGGAUAUAAGUAUACACAUAGCUGAUUUACUUUGUUGUACAGCAGAAACUAACACAACAUUGUAAAGCAAUUAUACUCCAGUAAAGAAAAAAGAAAAGAAAAAACCCGUAGAGCUCCUUUGAAUGUACUUUUUAAAAAUAGGUAUUUAUUUUUAAAAAUUACAUAACAUGUAUGUCUAAGGCAGGUGACCCAGUUUGGUCACUCUUUAGAUAUAACCUGCUUCCUCUUCACUUGCCAGAAAUUCUUUCUUAUUCUUUCUUUUCUUCUUCCUUUCCUCCUUUCCUUCCUUCCUUUUUUUCCCCAUGCUUUCUUUCUCAAUCUUUUUCCCUCCUUCCUUCCUUCUUCCCCUUCUCUUUCUUUCUCCCUCCUUUCCUUCCUUUCUAUAGCAGGAAAAGAUCCACGUUAGCAAUCCCUGGGAUCAAGAACUAUACAGAAAAAUGUAAAAUUUUUAAAAUCAAAGACUUCCUCCUACUUCCAGCUCCAGAGUCCAAAGCUGUGCACAGCAGCCGAGGAGAAGACCUGAGAGACAACGCGAAAGCCGGGAGGCUGCCCCGGGCCAGAUGCACGCACCAAGCCGCCAUGACUGCUGCCGGCACUGCCUUCUUCUUUAAUUUUUAUGUUUGACUGUACUGCAUGGCACAUGGGAUCUUAAUUCCUCAACCAAAGAUUCAGUCUACACCCCCUGCAUUGGAAGAGUGGAGUCUUAACCACUGGACCACCAGGGAAGUCCCCGGUUCUUUCUUGAAGUUCUUUCAAGAUGAAGAAAUGUAGACACAUGCACACAGAGAGGACCACAUGAACACACUGCAGGAGUGGCCAUCUGCAAACCAAGGAGGGAGACCUCAAGAGAAAACAAAGUGCUUGCACUUUGAUCUUGCCCAGAUAGCCUCCAGAGUGGUGGGAAAAUAAACUUAUGUUGUUUAGGCCA
rnacentral:lncRNA from 1 species